rnacentral:rRNA from 1 species
GAUGAACGCUGGCGGCGUGCCUAAUACAUGCAAGUCGAGCGAACAGACGAGGAGCUUGCUCCUCUGACGUUAGCGGCGGACGGGUGAGUAACACGUGGAUAACCUACCUAUAAGACUGGGAUAACUUCGGGAAACCGGAGCUAAUACCGGAUAAUAUAUUGAACCGCAUGGUUCAAUAGUGAAAGACGGUUUUGCUGUCACUUAUAGAUGGAUCCGCGCCGCAUUAGCUAGUUGGUAAGGUAACGGCUUACCAAGGCAACGAUGCGUAGCCGACCUGAGAGGGUGAUCAGCCACACUGGAACUGAGACACGGUCCAGACUCCUACGGGAGGCAGCAGUAGGGAAUCUUCCGCGAUGGGCGAAAGCUUGACGGAGCAACGCCGCGUGAGUGAUGAAGGUCUUCGGAUCGUAAAACUCUGUUAUUAGGGAAGAACAAAUGUGUAAGUAACUAUGCACGUCUUGACGGUACCUAAUCAGAAAGCCACGGCUAACUACGUG